rnacentral:rRNA from 1 species
AGUGGACGCGAGCAUCUUUGUGGCCAAGUUUUUUAGGGCACACGGUGGAUGCCUUGGCAUCAGGAGCCGAUGAAGGACGUGGGAGGCUGCGUUAAGCCCCGGGGAGUCGCCAACCUGACUUUGAUCC